AUGAUUUCAGUUGAGCUUCACAGUAGCCUUACAAAGAGGCCCUUUUAUCUGUCAGCAUUCUUGGUUGUAAGCAAUAGAAGCUGACUCAUUAUCACAGAAGAAGAAAGUUUGUUGGAAUCAUGUUGGGGCCUCCAGGGUUGUCAGAAGGAUGGAACAUGGGUUAUAAAAAGAGUAAGAAUAUAGUGCAUCCCAGCGAACUAGGUAGGCUGUGGUUUGUCAUCCGGAGCUAGUCUUGGACCCCAUGCCAAGGGAAUGGCAUUUUCUAAGUGUAGAGGCUUCCCAGAGGAGUACUGUACUGUUAGAACACCAAGGGUUACAAGCGGCAGAAACUCAAGUUGAGCCACUAUAUGGAAGAAGGGGAUAAAAAGAUACUGGAGUACCUCAGAAAAGGUGCAAUAGGAUCUCUUGAAUCCAAAAAUUGAGUGGAUCUAGAGGCAUCAGAACAUUCUAUGUCUUGUUCUUCUUUUCCCUGAGCAUUGCCUCUACCCUCUCUCCUGACACAUUCCUCCAUAGAAGGGAAUGGAGUUCCUUGAACAGUCCACACCUCACCCAAAGAUACUGGAUACUCUUUUUUCAUCUUAGAUUCAAGGAUCACUGAAAUGCCUGAGUGGCUCCAUGUGGCUUAGGUGCCAGUCCCUGGGCUGGCAGUCAUAUUGGGCUUAAAGAGUGUCUCUCUCUCUUUUUUUUUUUUUUGGUACCAGGGAUCAAACUUGGGUCCUUGGCUUGCGAGGCAGGCGGUGGAACCACUGAGCUAAAUCCCUGGCUCACGAGUGUCUCUCUUGAUAACCAUGUAGAACUGGCAUGUCUGACCCAAAGCCUGCAGGCCACAUGUGGUCCCUGGAUAGUUAGUAAUGGAGCCCCACAAGGUGAUAAGCCUUUAACAUUAUUAUGUGAUUUUUUAGUGAGGUUUUUUCAUGACUUGAUUAUGCGGUUCUCACAUUUGAACUUUGUAGGUAACAACAGUGCUCAUUCCACCUCCUGCACCCACCACACACAGUCUUGGAAUGUAAACCCUGUGAGUAUCAGACAUCACAUGUACUUGUGCAACUUGGUGUUUACUGCAUUGUCUGACUCAGAAGAAAUUGGAGCAGUGGAAGCAGCUACUUGGAAGGAUGGAGAAGAUUUUUGUUUUCUUUUAGCCCUAGUCAGCGUCAGUACCUCUUUUAGAGUUUUCUUUUAACAAAUGACCCAGUGGAGUUGACAUUGGUAGAAUCUCGGCCAACAUAGAAACUGAGCUUCAGAGUGGUUAUGCAACAUUCCUAAAGUUAUGGAAUAACAUUGCCUAAAAGCAAUGGAACCAGCCAACCAUGGACCGAAAUUUUUGAAAUAGAACCAAAAUAACUCAUGCAUUUUUAAGUUGUUUUUUUCAGGUAUUUUGUCACAGUGAUGGAAAACUGAUUACCACAUUAUAUCAGAGUUCACUAGAAAAACAAAUUACACACAUAUAUAAAGGAUUUACUAAGUAGGCUUACAGUGACUGACUGCAGAAUCAGGGGUGGAAGAAUGCAAAAAUGCAAAAUGGUCAUUUGCAUUGAAGAGUUGAGGAUUCAUUUGAAAGUCAAAAGCCUGGAGCUCACUGCAGAGUCCUGUGCAAGACUGUGUUGAAAACCUGAAGAGCCUGUGUUGGAAUGCUGAGGAGUUUGAGCUGGAAGCCUGAAGUACCUGGAGAGGAAUGUCCAAACCGUGAAGACUGCAGCUCCCCUGAAGAAGCAAAAGGGAGGACUUCCUCCUUCUUUCCCUUGUUAUUCCAUCCAGUCUGCAGGCCUAUUGGUCAGUGUCACACACAUUCAGGGUGGGUCUUCCCUCCUCCAUUUGCAGCUUACUUGUCAGUCAUCUAUAGACACACCUGAAACUGUGCUUCACUAAUCCCCUUGUAGGCAUUUCUUAAUCCAUUCAAGUUAACAUCACAAUUAACUAUCACACACACCUGAGGUCAUCCAAAUUAAUCCAGGACUGAACACAGAUUCAGCUAGCAUCAAGGCCCCUGGAAACCUUUGCCACCAUGUAACUUUAGUGCUAGCAGCUGAUGGCAACAGAAGGAGUUCCUACACAUGCUUUGUGAUUGAAGUAAGGACAAACAAUUGCCCUAUAGCAUAGGAAAUUCAAUAGUGUUAAUCAAGUUUUCAUUACUAUAAUUAAAUACCUGAGAUGAUAACUUAUUAAGAGAAAAGUUUCACAAUUCAGGAAGUUCCAGUCCAUGAUCAGUUGGUGGAUGGUUUUGGGACUGUGGCAAGGGCACACAUCAUGGCAGAAGUACGUGGCAGAGCAAAGGUGCUGAGCUUGUAGCCAGGAAGCAAAGGAGAUGAUGAGAAAAGGGUAGACAGCACAAUUCCCUUCAAGGGCAUGCCCCCAGUGACUUGAAGUCCUCCCACUAGGCUCCAUCUCUCUCUCUCUCUCUCUCUCUCUCUCUCUUUUUUCAUACUGGGGAUUGAACUCGGGAAUUUGGGCUUGCAAGGCAGGUGGUGGAACCACUGAGCUAAAUUCCCGGCCCUAGGCUCCAUUUCUUAAAGGUACAACUCAGUAUCUCCAAGUAGCAUCACCCUGAGGACCAAUCCUUUCUCACAUGCACAUUUGAGCAAUGUAUAACCCAGAGGUUACUAGAGUAGCAGAUUUAAUAAAUAUAUGUGCACACAUAGGUUUACAAUGCCCUGGUGCUGGGUCACGUGUGGAAAAAUCCAAAAGGGCUGCCUACAUGCUGGAGUGUUGAGCAAUCCAAGUCAAAGGUGGAAGACCUGGCGCUCAUUGCAGAGUCCUAUUGAUAACCAAAGGAUGUGCAUUGGAAAGUUGAGGAGUCUGAGAUGGGAGGCUGAAUACAGACUUGCCAAGGCUAUAGUGAAGAUUGGAGCUCCUCUGAAGAAACCAAAGUAAGACUUCUUUCUUUUGUCCCCUUUUCAUUCCACUCAGGUUGCAGUCCUAUAGGUUGGUGCCACUCACACCCAGGGUAAGUCUUCUGUCUUCAAUAAAUCCAUUCAGCCACACUCAGCACUACACUAAUCCAAUCAGUUGGGCAUUUCUUACUCAAGUUGAUACAACAGCUAACUGUCACAAGGGACAUUCAAACCAUAGCAGUUAGCUUUCUCCAACUUUGACUGAAAACUUUGUAACAUCUCAGUAGGAUAUGGCUUAUGUUUGUACCUUCUGACUCACACCAGGAUUUAUACACUCAGUCCCUUCCUAACCACUCUACAUCUCUGUUCUUCAGGCUUUAGGACUAAAACUAAAUUACACUAUUGAUUAUCCUUAGUCUAUAGCUUAUAGGCAUAAGGUUGGGGAAGUUCUUGACCUCCAUAAUUAUAUGAGUCAAUCUCUAUUAAAAAUCUUGUUAUGGUCUGGGGAUUUAGUUCAGUGGUUCCACCGCCUGCCUUGCAAGCACAAGGUCCCGAAUCCCAAGUUCGAUCCCCGGUACCAAAAAAAAAUCAAAACUUGUUAGAUAAAUAGAUACAGAUGUAGAUAUAAAUGAUAUAGAUCAGUGAUGGCAAACCUUUUAGAGCAUUCAAUGAUAACAAACAGCCUGAUGUGUCACUCAUACCAUAGGUUCCUCACCACUGAUAUAGAUGAUAGAAAUACAGACAAAAAUGUUGAUGUACAUGCAAACAGAGGUCCAAAAAAUGCAAGCACAGAUGACCUUGAAGAGAAGUUGGGUGUCCUAGCUGCAACACAUAGAGUAAAUUGCCCCUUCUUUUGCCUUUUUGUCCUCUCUGGGACCUUGGUUGGAUGAUGCCACCUGCAUUGGAUCAGUGAUAUUUACUCAGUCUGCUGAUCCAAAUGCUGAUCUGCUCUGGAAAUAGCUUCUCAGACAUAUCUAGAAAUAAUAGUUUACCAGCUAUCUGGGUAUCCCUUAGCCUAGUCAAGUUAACAUACAAAAUUAAACAUCUCAACCCCUAAAUCAUGAUGAAAUAAUGUGAUGAAAUAGCUUUUCAUGGCACCUGUUAGUACCCUGUUGCUGCCGUUAGCACAUUUGUUUUAUUUUACUUUUGUGUCACUGAGGCUGAAACCCAGGGCCUUAUGCAUGCAAAUAGGCAUGCACUGUACCCCUGAGCUACACUCUCAGUCCUGGUAAUAACUCAUGACCUCAUACAUAGUUUCAAACAACACAAAGUAAUCUUCUACCAGUUACAGAGUCAGAGUUUGACUGAUCUCAGUGCUACAAUUGAGGUGUCCUGAAGGCUACAUAAAUAUUUGGAGGCUCUGGAAGAGAAUGCUUGUUCCUUGGUGUGCUUCCUUAGCUCCCCUUCCUUCCUUCCUUAGCUCCCCUUCCUUCCUUAGCUCAUCCCCAUUCCUUUAUCUCCAAAACCCUUCAUUUUAAUUCUCCUUUGUAGUCACAUUUUUCUGUGAUGACAGCUAGGAAAAGUGACUGCUUUUAAGUACUUAUGUACAGAGAUUGGGCCCUUUUGUUUGUUAUCCCCACAUCAAGGUCCAUAGUAAAAUUAAUCACAUCUGCAAAGUCCCUUUGCUAUGUAAAGCAACAUCACCAGUUCUAGAAGUCAGGGCAUAGGUGCUUUGGGAGCCAUUAUUCUGCCUACUACAAAUAGAUAACCCUUAAACGCAAGAAGGUCCUUACUGUUCCUAAUCUACUUGCCUGUCUCUAUUGGAUUUGCUCCCUGGCCUAGAUCCCACCAAGCUUCCUUUGGGUCCUGGGGGAAGGUUUAUUCCACUGCUGCCGCCUGCCUUUUUCUCUCUCCUCUCCUCACCCAACACCAACUUAUUUCCAACUCAUCCUCAAAUUUCAGUUCAUGCAUCCCAUCCUCAGAGAUGUCUUCCCUCACUACAGGGCCAGACCAGAAUGGGCUCCUUUGAAGAUACUUAAACAUAUCCACCAUAGCAUUAACCAAAAUUUGUAAUUCUUUUUCAUAUGAUUAUUCCAUAGAUGGAUUAGUAGUCCAGUGUAGUGAUUCUGAAACCUGGUUAAGGUCCUUUCUCCUCCAAUAACUAACUGAUAUGGGAUAUUAAGAAAGCCAUUUGAUGACUCAUUGCCUCAAUUUCCUCAUGUGUGAAAUGUAUUUGUCAUUAUAUUAUUAUAAGAUUAAGAUAGUUCUUAUGUGUAAAGUUCUUAGAAUAGUGCCUGUCAAAUAAUAAGCCUGAUAUAAUAUUAAAUUUGUAUUUAUAAUUUAUAUAUGAACACUUGUGUAUUUCUUAUAUUUAUAUAUAUAGAUAUCGUUACACAAAGAGUAUCCCAUUAUGAUAUAUAUAAUGUUAGGAGAAUUUUAAAGUCCUACUCUACUUCCAGAGCCUGGAGGCAUCAUAAUUGCUCUGUAAGUCUUUGCUGAAGAAAGAGAGAAGGGAGAGAGGGGGAAGGAAGAGACAGAGAUACCUGC
rnacentral:lncRNA from 1 species